GAUGAACGCUAGCUACAGGCUUAACACAUGCAAGUCGAGGGGAAACGGCAUUGAGUGCUUGCACUCUUUGGACGUCGACCGGCGCACGGGUGAGUAACGCGUAUCCAACCUUCCCAUUACUGUGGGAUAACCUGCCGAAAGGCAGACUAAUACCGCAUAGUCUUCGAUGACGGCAUCAGAUUUGAAGUAAAGAUUUAUCGGUAAUGGAUGGGGAUGCGUCUGAUUAGCUUGUUGGCGGGGUAACGGCCCACCAAGGCUACGAUCAGUAGGGGUUCUGAGAGGAAGGUCCCCCACAUUGGAACUGAGACACGGUCCAAACUCCUACGGGAGGCAGCAGUGAGGAAUAUUGGUCAAUGGACGGAAGUCUGAACCAGCCAAGUAGCGUGCAGGAUGACGGCCCUAUGGGUUGUAAACUGCUUUUGUAUGGGGAUAAAGUUAGGGACGUGUCCCUAUUUGCAGGUACCAUACGAAUAAGGACCGGCUAAUUCCGUGCCAGCAGCCGCGGUAAUACGGAAGGUCCAGGCGUUAUCCGGAUUUAUUGGGUUUAAAGGGAGCGUAGGCUGGAGAUUAAGUGUGUUGUGAAAUGUAGACGCUCAACGUCUGAAUUGCAGCGCAUACUGGUUUCCUUGAGUACGCACAACGUUGGCGGAAUUCGUCGUGUAGCGGUGAAAUGCUUAGAUAUGACGAAGAACUCCGAUUGCGAAGGCAGCUGACGGGAGCGCAACUGACGCUUAAGCUCGAAGGUGCGGGUAUCAAACAGG
rnacentral:rRNA from 1 species